AGAAAGACAUUUCGAUGAAACUGACGAUAAAGAGGUUUUACGCUAAAUAUAAUUUUAUCAUUCUUUGCCCAAGUUGUUUCUAUAAAGCAUACCAAAGGGAAUACUUUUUACAAAGUAAAUCCAGAAACAACAAACGGAGAUCAUCUGUUCCCUUCUUUACCUCUAGCUCAUAAGAAAAAUUCUUUUGAAGCGCUUUGAGUGAAACGCAAAUACUCAAUUAUAUUCUAACAAAAAGAUACUGUGUCUUCUGGAUCGUCGGCUCUUCUGGAUCGUUGAGUGUUAUCUUUAAUAAUGUGCCCACUGUAUCUAUUUCUCCUGUAACCUUUUUAGGCUUAACUAUUUACUUUCAUUACUUUGAUAGAAUCGGACAAAAUGAAAUUAUGGGGUGCUUUACAAUCGGCCCCACCGAUCCAGGAAAGGGUCGCGAUCACUGGCUGGAAAUGCUCUCAAAUCCACGCAAACCCAUCGCUCAAUGGUACUCGCUUUUGGAAACCGUACCAUUUGAUCUUCACAACCAGAAGGAGGCUCCCAUGUUACUAACAUGUCUAAAGAGCAGGUGAGAUACAAUUACAUAACAGAGCGAGCAAAACAGUUGGUUUAAAUGUUGGUGUUGAAAUACGGAAAGGCGGAAGCGUAAGUAAAUUAGGAACCGGAAUUUGCGGCUAUCCAAGUUUGGAUGUAGCAUGUGUUUGUACUGAUGCCGAAGAAAUUAGUAGUUAGUGUCUAACAACUAUAGAAUAAUCAGACAAGGAAUAAAAGUCCAUGGAGGAAAGUUAAAGGCAUUAUUUAAUUGCUGUCUUUACUAGAUGAUUGUUGUGUACAGAAUUCUUGUUGCUGCGUAGCUCAUUAAGGUUGUGGACUCUCGAUCAUUUUUUGAUCGAUCAGUUUGUGAAAUAUUAUUACAAAACAUAUAUAUUCAUCGUUAACGUAUUUACUACCUGGCAAUGGAACCUCUAUAGAAUAAUGUAAUUUACAUUCGUUUUUCACUCGAAAGAAUAUUCUACAUAAUCAAAUAGCUUCUGUUAGAACCUUCAAUUGUGUCUGAUAAUAACGUUCUCAAGCAUCUACUGCUGGUGAUGAGUAAAUAUAGUGUUAAGAAAAUUGUUAAUGGAAAUUGAAGAUUUAUAUUUUCCACUCUUGGACAAACUUUAUAUACUUUUACUCCUGGUAAUAAACCAAACUAUAUGUUA
rnacentral:lncRNA from 1 species